UACGUAGAGUCCUAGUGUUACUCGGAUUUACUGGGCGUAAAGGAUGCGUAGGCUGCUUGAUAAGUCAACUGUGAAAUCCCUGGGCUCAACCCAGGAACUGCAGUUGAUACUGUCAAGCUAGAGUGUGGUAGAGAGCAAUGGAAUUCCUAGUGUAGGGGUUAAAUCCGCAGAUAUUAGAAGGAACACCAGAGGCGAAAGCGGUUGCUUGGGCCAAUACUGACGCUGAGGCAUGAAAGCGUGGGGAGCAAGCAGGAUUAGAAACCCUGGUAGU
rnacentral:rRNA from 1 species